rnacentral:rRNA from 1 species
CGUGUAGCCGGGUCGGCAAGUCAGAUGUGAAAUCCCCGGGCUCAACCUGGGAACAGCAUACUAAACUGGUGGACUAGAGUAUUGCAGGGGGAGACGGAAUUCCAGGUGUAGCGGUGGAACGCGUAGAUAUCUGGAAGAACACCAAAGGCGAAGGCAGUCUCCUGGGCAAAUACUGACGCUCAUAUGCGAAAGCGUGGGUAGCAAACA